GACAGAGGGUGCAAACGUUGUUCGGAAUUACUGGGCGUAAAGCGAGUGUAGGCGGUCCGCUAAGUCGAGUGUGAAAGCCCUGGGCUCAACCCAGGAAGUGCACUCGAAACUGGCGGGCUAGAGUAUCGGAGAGGUUGGUGGAAUUCUCGGUGUAGAGGUGAAAUUCGUAGAUAUCGAGAGGAACACCGGUGGCGAAGGCGGCCAACUGGACGAAUACUGACGCUGAGACUCGAAAGCGUGGGGAGCAAACAGG
rnacentral:rRNA from 1 species